rnacentral:rRNA from 1 species
CCUUUGUACACACCGCCCGUCGCUACUACCGAUUGAAUGGCUUAGUGAGACUCUCGGAUCGGGGCUUAGGAACCGGCAACGGUACCUUUUUUCUGAGAAGUUCGUCAAACUUGGUCAUUUAGAGG